rnacentral:rRNA from 1 species
UACGGAGGGGGCUAGCGUUGUUCGGAAUUACUGGGCGUAAAGCGUACGUAGGCGGCUUUGUAAGUUAGAGGUGAAAGCCCGGGGCUCAACCCCGGAAUUGCCUUUAAGACUGCAUCGCUUGAAUCGCGGAGAGGUGAGUGGAAUCCCGAGUGUAGAGGUGAAAUUCGUAGAUAUUCGGAAGAACACCAGUGGCGAAGGCGGCUCACUGGACGCGUAUUGACGCUGAGGUACGAAAGCGUGGGGAGCAAACAGG